AUCUCAAAUAAUUUCACUUAAAAUAUGUUCAACCUUACUCGACAGAUCAAUCAUCAUAAUCGUUAAAACUAAUGAUAUACAUAUUUAAUGUGACACGACAGAUAUAUCAGCAACCAUGCUAAAUAACAAAAUGAUCGCGAUUGACUAACGUAUCGUACUAUCAUGGCACAUUGGCAUAACCAUAGUAUAGAGUACAACAGAUUGCAGAUAUCAUUAAGCUACGACUUAAUGAACGAGGCGUGCCGGACGUGGGAAGUCGUCUAUCGUACUGUAAUUAUCGUGCUGUAAUACCGAUCGAAAAUAGGAGUGCACUCCCUCACGUGAUCACGAUGAUGGUCAUGCUUCGCCACUUUGCCCUGUUUUGUGCAAUUGUGGCGAUUGUUUGCGCCGAUUGUAACGUGGGAACGUGGCAAGGAAUUUUCCUGAUUUGUUUUCACUGAAUUGAUCGAUAAAGAGUUAUUAUUCGUGUGAUUCUUACUUUGAAAAUUUAAUAGAAUUUAGUAGAAUCUUCUUCAAGAAUUUUUC
rnacentral:lncRNA from 1 species